UUGGAUGAGUCAGACCAGCUAAGAUAAGCAUAAGGAAACGCCAUCUGGGGAGCCAUCCACCCUAACAGCAGCAGACCCACAGCAGCAGCCGAGGCACUGACACCGGGCGCCCAGGGCAGGGAGGGCAGAGACCCCCACCACCACCCAGGCACACAUGGAAAGCACCCAGGUCGCCACAGCCGACCACCGCCGCCGAGGCAGAGGGCUCCCACAGAGGAAGCUCUGGAAAAAGGUUCAAUUAAGGUUAAAAUAUAAAAUCCAAAGAGCUAAAAUGAGAAUUGUAAUAUAAAAAGUUAUAUAGAUAUUAAAAUAAUGUUGAUCGCAAAUCGAGGUAAAAACUGUUUAAAAAGCACGAAUAAAGAAAGAAUACAUUAAAUAAAUAAAAUAAAUAGAUACAAUAAAUAAAUAAACAAAGUAAUUAAUUAAUUUAAAAAGUGAGUAUUCAGUUAAAAGCUAAGCUAAAAAGAUGGGUCUUCAGCCUGAACGUUCAGCAGCCCUGAGGUCCCUGGCAGCUCGUUCCAGAGGCGAGGACCGUCACCGGAAGGACGCCACUCCGCACCUGCACCGUUACCUUCGGAGGCGGGCCCUGCUCCGUAUGCUCCGUAUGCAAGGUUUCUAUUCUCGUAAAUUUACGCUCACGUUGUGCCGCAGCUUCUAAAGCUACGCAGUUAGCGUAAACAUGUCUGUGGUUAGCGUCCGUGUUUUUGCGUAGCGGAGGCCCAGCUGAACGCUAGUUCUCCCCGUGGACGAGCAGCAAAUCGGAACAAGUCUGGAUGGCACAAACAAUUCUUCGGAACCAGUCCACGUACUUUCGGUUGGCUCGAUCUGGAGCAGUUAAAGCAGCAGGUCUGGUUCCUUCUGAUCAUUGAGAACCACCAGGACAUCAGCAGAACUCUGAUCAUGUAGCCCAGACUACUCAUCUUCUCUCAUGUGAGUUCCACUUUAAAGGUCUGGUUCACUGACAACCCCUGUUUCAAUGACUAUCUCUGAUUCUAACUGGUCACUCUGAGUGUUUCAUGCAGGCUGAACAUGAAAAUAGUCUCCUACACCCAUCUCCUGCAUCAGCUUCUGAUAGAAAACAGACGAUGAAACUCUAGGAUUAGAAAAGCCCGACAGAUCUACGUCACACUGUCUUAGCGAUGGGCACCUUUGGCAUUUGAAUCGAUACGGUCCCCGGUACCUACGAAACGAUACCGGUGCUUAACGGUACCCAUUUUUGAUACUUUUGAGUUCUAAAUAGUUAUUGAAAUUGCAUUUUAAUUAAACAUAUAUUUUCCCAAUAAAUAAUCAUAUUUGAUAAAUAUCAUGAUACAAACAACUGUUUGUAUUUUAUCAUCGUAGUGUUGCACAAAACUGUUCAACAUGAAAACCUUUAACAACAGUUUCUAAAUUAAAACAAACCCAGCUCCAUGGACUCCUAAUCCUCUUCGAAUCCCUCUGGAAUAACUCUUAUGAGGAGACCAGGUGUUAUAAACUACAAAAGCAAACUUUGGUACCAUACAACAGUUUGUAUUUUAAUAUUGUGGUGUUUCACAAACUAAAACAGCUCCAUGUACUCCUAUUUCUCUCCUUUCUCCUCUGGACCAACUGUGUGAUGGUGGGUCCUUAUAGUUUAUAAACUGUGUGGCGGUGGGUCCUUAUAGUUUAUAAACUGUGUGGCGGUGGUCCUUGUUUUUAAACUGUGUGAUGUGGGUCCUUGUAGUUUAUAAACUUUGUAAUGUGGGUCCUUGUAGUUUAUAAACUGUGUGACGGUGGGUCAGUGGAGUUUUUAAACUGUGAUGGUGGAUCCUUGUAGUUUAUAAACUGUGUGAUGGUGGGUCCUUGUAGUUUAUAAACUGUGUGAUGGCGGUCCUUGUAGUUUAUAAACUGUGUGAUGUGGGUCCUUGUAGUUUAUAUAAUGGGUGACGUUGGGUCUGUGUAGUUUAUAAACUGUGUGAUGGUGGGUCCUUGUAGUUUAUAAACUGUGUGAUGGUGGGUCCUUGUAGUUUUUAAACUGUGUGAUGGUGGGUCUUUGUAGUUUAUAAACUGUGUGAUGGUGGGUCCUUGUAGUUAUAUAAAAUGUGUGAUGUGUGUCCUUGUAAUUUUUAAACUGUGCGAUGGUGGGUCCUUGUAGUUUUUAAACUGUGUGAUGGUGGGUCUUUGUAGUUUAUAAACUGUGUGAUGGUGGUCCUUGUAGUUUAUAUAAUGUGUGAUGGUGGGUCUGUGUAGUUUAUAAACUGUGUGAUGGUGGGUCCUUGUAGUUUAUAUAAUGUGUGAUGGUGGGUCUGUGUAGUUUAUAAACUGUGUGAUGGUGGGUCCUUGUAGUUUAUAAACUGUGUGAUGGUGGGUCUUUGUAGUUUAUAAACUGUGUGAUGGUGGGUCCUUGUAGUUUUAUAAACUGUGUGAUGGUAGGUCCUUGUAGUUUAUAAAGUGUGUGAUGGUGGGUCCUUGUAAUUUUUAAACUGAUGGUGGGUCCUUGUAGUUUAUAAACGGUGUGAUAGUGGGUCCUUGUAGUUUUUAAACUGUGUGGCGGUGGGUCCUUGUAGUUUAUAAACUGUGUGAUGGUUGGUCCUUGUAGUUUAUAAACUGUGUGAUGGUGGUCCUUGUAGUUUAUAUAAUGUGUGAUGGCGGGUCCUUGUAUUUUUAUAAACUGUGUGAUGGUGGGUCCUUGUAGUUUAUUAACGGUGUGAUGGUGGGUCCUUUUAUUUUUAUAGACUGUGUGAUGAUGGGUCCUUUUUAUAAACUGUGUGAUGGUGGGUCCUUGUAGUUUUUAAACUGUGUGAUGGUGGGUCUUUGUAGUUUAAAAACUGUGUGAUGGUGGGUCCUUGUUUAUAAACUGUGUGAUGGUGGGUCCUUGUAGUUGUUAAACUGUGUGAUGGUGGGUCCUUGUAGUUUAUAAACUGUGUGAUGGUGGUUCCUUGCAGUUUUUAAACUGUGUGAUGGUGGGUCCUUGUUUAUAAACUGUGUGAUGGUGGGUCCUUGUAGUUGUUAAACUGUGUGACGGUGGGUCCUUGUAGUUUAUAAACUGUGUGAUGGUGGGUCCUUGCAGUUUUUAAAUUGUGUGAUGGUGGGUCCUUGUUGUUUAUAAACUGUGUGAUGGUGGAUCCUUGUUUGUAAACUGUGAUGGUGGAUCAUUGUAGUUUUAAAAAUUGUGUGAUUUGGGUCCUUCUGGUUUAUAAACUUUGCAAUGUGGGUCCUUGUAGUUUAUCAACUGUGUGAUGGUGGGUCCUUGUUUAUAAACUGUGUGAUGGUGGGUCCUUGUAGUUUAUAAACUGUGUGAUGGUGGAUCCUUGUUUGUAAACUGUGAUUGUGGAUCAUUGUAGUUUUAAAAAUUGUGUGAUUUGGGUCCUUCUGGUUUAUAAACUUUGCAAUGUGGGUCCUUGUAGUUUAUAAACUGUGUGAUGGUGGGUCCUUGUGGUUUUAUAAACUGUGUGAUGGUGGGUCCUUGUAGUUUAUAAACUGUGUGAUGGUGGGUCUUUGUAGUUUUAAAAACAGUGUGAUGGUGGGUCCUUGUAAUUUUUAAACUGAUGGUGGGUCCUUGUAGUUUAUAAACGGUGUGAUAGUGGGUCCUUGUACUUUUUAAACUGUGUGGCGGUGGGUCCUUGUAGUUUAUAAACUGUGUGAUGUGGGUCCUUGUAGUUUAUAAACUGUGUGAUGGUGGUCCUUGUACUUUAUAUAAUGUGUGAUGGUGGGUCCUUGUAUUUUUAUAAACUGUGUGAUGGUGGGUCCUUGUAGUUUAUUAACGGUGUGAUGGUGGGUCCUUGUAGUUGUUAUAGACUGUGUGAUGAUGGGUCCUUUUUAUAAACUGUGUGAUGGUGGGUCCUUGUAGUUUUUAAACUGUGUGAUGGUGGGUCUUUGUAGUUGUAUAAGCAGUGUGAUGGUGGGUUCUUCUAGUUUCAUAAACCGUGUGAUGGUGGGUCCUUGUAGUUUAUAAACUGUGUGAUGGUGGUCCUUGUAGUUUAUAUAAUGUGUGAUGGCGGGUCCUUGUAUUUUUAUAAACUGUGUGAUGGUGGGUCCUUGUAGUUUAUUAACGGUGUGAUGGUGGGUCCUUUUAUUUUUAUAGACUGUGUGAUGAUGGGUCCUUUUUAUAAACUGUGUGAUGGUGGGUCCUUGUAGUUUUUAAACUGUGUGAUGGUGGGUCUUUGUAGUUUAUAAACUGUGUGAUGGUGGGUCCUUGUUUAUAAACUGUGUGAUGGUGGGUCCUUGUAGUUGUUAAACUGUGUGAUGGUGGGUCCUUGUAGUUUAUAAACUGUGUGAUGGUGGGUCCUUGCAGUUUUUAAACUGUGUGAUGGUGGGUCCUUGUUUAUAAACUGUGUGAUGGUGGGUCCUUGCAGUUUUUAAAUUGUGUGAUGGUGGGUCCUUGUUGUUUAUAAACUGUGUGAUGGUGGGUUCCUGUAGUUUAUAAACUGUGUGAUGGUGGAUCCUUGUUUGUAAACUGUGAUUGCGGAUCAUUGUAGUUUUAAAAAUUGUGUGAUUUGGGUCCUUCUGGUUUAUAAACUUUGCAAUGUGGGUCCUUGUAGUUUAUAAACUGUGUGAUGGUGGGUCCUUGUGGUUUUAUAAACUGUGUGAUGGUGGGUCCUUGUGGUUUUAUAAACUGUGUGAUGGUGGGUCCUUGUAGUUUAUAAACUGUGUGAUGGUGGGUCUUUGUAGUUUUAAAAACAGUGUGAUGGUGGGUCCUUGUAAUUUUUAAACUGAUGGUGGGUCCUUGUAGUUUAUAAACGGUGUGAUAGUGGGUCCUUGUACUUUUUAAACUGUGUGGCGGUGGGUCCUUGUAGUUUAUAAACUGUGUGAUGUGGGUCCUUGUAGUUUAUAAACUGUGUGAUGGUGGUCCUUGUACUUUAUAUAAUGUGUGAUGGUGGGUCCUUGUAUUUUUAUAAACUGUGUGAUGGUGGGUCCUUGUAGUUUAUUAACGGUGUGAUGGUGGGUCCUUGUAGUUGUUAUAGACUGUGUGAUGAUGGGUCCUUUUUGUAAACUGUGUGAUGGUGGGUCCUUGUAGUUUUUAAACUGUGUGAUGGUGGGUCUUUGUAGUUGUAUAAGCAGUGUGAUGGUGGGUUCUUCUAGUUUCAUAAACCGUGUGAUGGUGGGUCCUUGUAGUUUAUAAACUGUGUCAUGGUGGGUCCUUGUUGUUUAUAAACUGUAUGAUGGUGGGUCCUUGUAGUUAUAUAAAAUGUGUGAUGUGUGUCCUUGUAAUUUUUAAACUGUGUGAUGGUGGGUCCUUGUAGUUUAUAAACUGUGUGAUGGUGGGUCCUUGUUUAUAAACUGUGAUGGUGGGUCCUUGUAGUUGUUAAACUGUGUGAUGGUGGGUCCUUGUAGUUUAUAAAGUGUGUGAUGGUGGGUCCUUGCAGUUUUUAAACUGUGUGAUGGUGGGUCCUUGUAGUUUAUCAACUGUGUGAUGGUGGGUCCUUGUUUAUAAACUGUGUGAUGGUGGGUCCUUGUAGUUUAUAAACUGUGUGAUGGUGGAUCCUUGUUUGUAAACUGUGAUGGUAGAUCAUUGUAGUUUUAAAAAUUGUGUGAUGUGGGUCCUUGUAGUUUAUAAACUUUGUAAUGUGGGUCCUUGUAGUUUAUAAACUGUGUGAUGGUGGUCCUUGUAGUUUAUAUAAUGUGUGACGGUGGGUCCUUGCACUUUAUAAACUGUGUGACGGUGGGUCCUUGUGGUUUUACAAACUGUGUGAUGGUGGGUCCUUGUAGUUUAUAAACUGUGUGAUGGUGGGUCCUUGUAGUUUAUAAACUGUGUGAUGGUGGGUCCUUGUAGUUUUAUAAACUUUGUGAUGGUGAGUCUUUGUAGUUUAUAAACUGUGUGAUGGUGGGUCCUUGUGAUUUUUAAACUGUGUGAUGGUGGGUCCUUGUAAUUUUUUAACUGUGUGAUGGUGGGUCCUUGUAGUUUAUAAACUGUGAUGGUGGGUCCUUGUAGUUUUUUAACUGUGUGAUGGUGGAUCCUUGUUUGUAAACUGUGAUGGUGGGUCAUUGUAGUUUAGAGCUGAAACAACUAAUCGAUUUAAUCGAUUAUAAUCGAUUAUUAAAAUAGUUAACAACUUUUUUAGUCAUCGAUUAGUUGUUUAAUAAUCAUAUUUUACCGCAUAAAGUCUAUUUUUUACCACAAUCUGACAUCGGUUACAAUCUGUUAAAUUUGCCGCCAGUGUGUGGCAGUAAUGAGCCACUGAUCUACCAGUGGGGCCGUAGAAGAAGAAAUUAGCCAAUAAGUGCCCUCGGUUUUCAUGACGUAUCACGUUACUGACGCGCAUCUUGCUGUGAGAGAUGGCGGAUCAACAACAAAUACGGAAGAAAAAUAGAAGCGACAAAACAAGAGAAACCCCGGACAAAAACCUCACGAGUAUGGGAGCACUUCACUAGAUGCCUUGAAAAGACCGGUGACCUACAAAAUAUGCAAAAACCAUGGCACGACGGAAGCACGACGUCCCUAAGUGAACAUUUGAGACGAAAACGUGGGGGCUGAUGCAGCAGAGGAAUGUCCGAAAAAAAACAAGCAACGAUGGACAACUACAUGGGGAACAAGACACUCACCCCCAGCAAUGCAUACCACUUACAAACUCUAUUCCAGAUUCUACAUUAUUUUUUAUGGAAUUUACCUCUUAUAUUUUGAUGCCAAAAAAUUAUUCUGGACUGAUAUUUUGCACUGUUUAGCUCAUUUUACACUGCUGACUGUGGUCAUGUGCAAUAAAAUAGAUUGCAGUCAACUGCACAAUUCUCUUAUGUUUUUUCUUUUUCUUAACUGAAAUGUAUUCAUCACUUGUAUAGGUUAAAUAGCUAAACAAUAACAAACCGAUUAAUCGAUUAAUCGAAAAAAUAAUCGACAGAUUAAUCGAUUAUGAAAAUAAUCGUUAGUUGCAGCCCUAUUGUAGUUUUAUAAACCGUGUGAUGGUGGGUCCUUGUAGUUUAAAUAAUGGGUGACGGUGGAUCUGUGUAGUUUAUAAACUGUGUGAUGUUGGUCCUUGUAGUUUAUAAACUGUGUGAUGGUGGGUCCUUGUAGUUUAUAAACUGUGUGAUGGUGGGUCUUUGUAGUUUUAAAAACAGUGUGAUGGUGGGUCCUUGUAAUUUUUAAACUGAUGGUGGGUCCUUGUAGUUUAUAAACGGUGUGAUAGUGGGUCCUUGUACUUUUUAAACUGUGUGGCGGUGGGUCCUUGUAGUUUAUAAACUGUGUGAUGUGGGUCCUUGUAGUUUAUAAACUGUGUGAUGGUGGUCCUUGUACUUUAUAUAAUGUGUGAUGGUGGGUCCUUGUAUUUUUAUAAACUGUGUGAUGGUGGGUCCUUGUAGUUUAUUAACGGUGUGAUGGUGGGUCCUUGUAGUUGUUAUAGACUGUGUGAUGAUGGGUCCUUUUUAUAAACUGUGUGAUGGUGGGUCCUUGUAGUUUUUAAACUGUUUGAUGGUGGGUCUUUGUAGUUGUAUAAGCAGUGUGAUGGUGGGUUCUUCUAGUUUCAUAAACCGUGUGAUGGUGGGUCCUUGUAGUUUAUAAACUGUGUGAUGGUGGUCCUUGUAGUUUAUAUAAUGUGUGAUGGCGGGUCCUUGUAUUUUUAUAAACUGUGUGAUGGUGGGUCCUUGUAGUUUAUUAACGGUGUGAUGGUGGGUCCUAUUAUUUUUAUAGACUGUGUGAUGAUGGGUCCUUUUUAUAAACUGUGUGAUGGUGGGUCCUUGUAGUUUUUAAACUGUGUGAUGGUGGGUCUUUGUAGUUUAUAAACUGUGUGAUGGUGGGUCCUUGUUUAUAAACUGUGUGAUGGUGGGUCCUUGUAGUUGUUAAACUGUGUGAUGGUGGGUCCUUGUAGUUUAUAAACUGUGUGAUGGUGGGUCCUUGCAGUUUUUAAACUGUGUGAUGGUGGGUCCUUGUUUAUAAACUGUGUGAUGGUGGGUCCUUGCAGUUUUUAAAUUGUGUGAUGGUGGGUCCUUGUUGUUUAUAAACUGUGUGAUGGUGGGUUCCUGUAGUUUAUAAACUGUGUGAUGGUGGAUCCUUGUUUGUAAACUGUGAUUGUGGAUCAUUGUAGUUUUAAAAAUUGUGUGAUUUGGGUCCUUCUGGUUUAUAAACUUUGCAAUGUGGGUCCUUGUAGUUUAUAAACUGUGUGAUGGUGGGUCCUUGUGGUUUUAUAAACUGUGUGAUGGUGGGUCCUUGUAGUUUAUAAACUGUGUGAUGGUGGGUCUUUGUAGUUUUAAAAACAGUGUGAUGGUGGGUCCUUGUAAUUUUUAAACUGAUGGUGGGUCCUUGUAGUUUAUAAACGGUGUGAUAGUGGGUCCUUGUACUUUUUAAACUGUGUGGCGGUGGGUCCUUGUAGUUUAUAAACUGUGUGAUGUGGGUCCUUGUAGUUUAUAAACUGUGUGAUGGUGGUCCUUGUACUUUAUAUAAUGUGUGAUGGUGGGUCCUUGUAUUUUUAUAAACUGUGUGAUGGUGGGUCCUUGUAGUUUAUUAACGGUGUGAUGGUGGGUCCUUGUAGUUGUUAUAGACUGUGUGAUGAUGGGUCCUUUUUAUAAACUGUGUGAUGGUGGGUCCUUGUAGUUUUUAAACUGUGUGAUGGUGGGUCUUUGUAGUUGUAUAAGCAGUGUGAUGGUGGGUUCUUCUAGUUUCAUAAACCGUGUGAUGGUGGGUCCUUGUAGUUUAUAAACUGUGUCAUGGUGGGUCCUUGUUGUUUAUAAACUGUAUGAUGGUGGGUCCUUGUAGUUAUAUAAAAUGUGUGAUGUGUGUCCUUGUAAUUUUUAAACUGUGUGAUGGUGGGUCCUUGUAGUUUAUAAACUGUGUGAUGGUGGGUCCUUGUUUAUAAACUGUGAUGGUGGGUCCUUGUAGUUGUUAAACUGUGUGAUGGUGGGUCCUUGUAGUUUAUAAAGUGUGUGAUGGUGGGUCCUUGCAGUUUUUAAACUGUGUGAUGGUGGGUCCUUGUAGUUUAUCAACUGUGUGAUGGUGGGUCCUUGUUUAUAAACUGUGUGAUGGUGGGUCCUUGUAGUUUAUAAACUGUGUGAUGGUGGAUCCUUGUUUGUAAACUGUGAUGGUAGAUCAUUGUAGUUUUAAAAAUUGUGUGAUGUGGGUCCUUGUAGUUUAUAAACUUUGUAAUGUGGGUCCUUGUAGUUUAUAAACUGUGUGAUGGUGGUCCUUGUAGUUUAUAUAAUGUGUGACGGUGGGUCCUUGCACUUUAUAAACUGUGUGACGGUGGGUCCUUGUGGUUUUACAAACUGUGUGAUGGUGGGUCCUUGUAGUUUAUAAACUGUGUGAUGGUGGGUCCUUUUAGUUUAUAAACUGUGUGAUGGUGGGUCCUUGUAGUUUUAUAAACUUUGUGAUGGUGAGUCUUUGUAGUUUAUAAACUGUGUGAUGGUGGGUCCUUGUGAUUUUUAAACUGUGUGAUGGUGGGUCCUUGUAAUUUUUUAACUGUGUGAUGGUGGGUCCUUGUAGUUUAUAAACUGUGAUGGUGGGUCCUUGUAGUUUUUUAACUGUGUGAUGGUGGAUCCUUGUUUGUAAACUGUGAUGGUGGGUCAUUGUAGUUUAGAGCUGAAACAACUAAUCGAUUUAAUCGAUUAUAAUCGAUUAUUAAAAUAGUUAACAACUUUUUUAGUCAUCGAUUAGUUGUUUAAUAAUCAUAUUUUACCGCAUAAAGUCUAUUUUUUACCACAAUCUGACAUCGGUUACAAUCUGUUAAAUUUGCCGCCAGUGUGUGGCAGUAAUGAGCCACUGAUCUACCAGUGGGGCCGUAGAAGAAGAAAUUAGCCAAUAAGUGCCCUCGGUUUUCAUGACGUAUCACGUUACUGACGCGCAUCUUGCUGUGAGAGAUGGCGGAUCAACAACAAAUACGGAAGAAAAAUAGAAGCGACAAAACAAGAGAAACCCCGGACAAAAACCUCACGAGUAUGGGAGCACUUCACUAGAUGCCUUGAAAAGACCGGUGACCUACAAAAUAUGCAAAAACCAUGGCACGACGGAAGCACGACGUCCCUAAGUGAACAUUUGAGACGAAAACGUGGGGGCUGAUGCAGCAGAGGAAUGUCCGAAAAAAACAAGCAACGAUGGACAACUACAUGGGGAACAAGACACUCACCCCCAGCAAUGCAUACCACUUACAAACUCUAUUCCAGAUUCUACAUUAUUUUUUAUGGAAUUUACCUCUUAUAUUUUGAUGCCAAAAAAUUAUUCUGGACUGAUAUUUUGCACUGUUUAGCUCAUUUUACACUGCUGACUGUGGUCAUGUGCAAUAAAAUAGAUUGCAGUCAACUGCACAA